GACGGUAUCGUCUAGUGGUUAGGACGCUCGGUUUUGAUUAAUAUAGGAUCAAACCGUCCGAUCGGCCUGGGUUCGACUCCCAGUACUGUCU